UCCGGUUUGGCACCGGCAGUCUCUCUAGAGUCCCCGCCAUAACGCGCUGGCAACUAGAGACAGGGGUCGCGCUCGUUAUAGGACUUAACCUGACACCUCACGGCACGAGCUGACGACAACCAUGCAGCACCUUGUAAAUUGUCUUGCGAAAGAUCUGUUUCCAAACCGGUCAAUCUACAUUUAAGCCUUGGUAAGGUUCCUCGCGUAUCAUCGAAUUAAACCACAUGCUCCACCGCUUGUGCGGGCCCCCGUCAAUUCCUUUGAGUUUCAGGCUUGCGCCCGUACUCCCCAGGUGGGAUACUUAUCACUUUCGCUUAGCCACUGAGCUUACGCCCAACAGCUAGUAUCCAUCGUUUACGGCGUGGACUAC
rnacentral:misc_RNA from 1 species